rnacentral:rRNA from 1 species
GAGGAAGGUGGGGAUGACGUCAAGUCCUCAUGGCCCUUACGGGCUGGGCUACACACGUGCUACAAUGGUGGUGACAGUGGGCAGCGAGACAGCGAUGUCGAGCUAAUCUCCAAAAGCCAUCUCAGUUCGGAUUGCACUCUGCAACUCGAGUGCAUGAAGUUGGAAUCGCUAGUAAUCGCAGAUCAGCAUGCUGCGGUGAAUACGUUCCCGGGCCUUGUACACACCGCCCGUCACACCAUGGGAGUUGGUUUUACCCGA